rnacentral:rRNA from 1 species
AUUGAACGCUGGCGGCAGGCCUAACACAUGCAAGUCGAGCGGAGCGGCGGGCGGGCGAGUAAGGCCUAGGAAUCAGCCUGGGCGUGGGGGAUAACGUACGGAAACGGACGCUAACACAGACUGCUAUCCGAUGAGCCUGGGGCGGAUUAGCUAGUUGGUGGGGUAACGGCCCACAAAGGCGACGGGCCGUAACUGGUCUGAGAGGAUGAUCAGUCACACUGGAACUGAGACACGGUCCAGACUCCUACGGGAGGCAGCAGUGGGGAAUAUUGGACAAUGGGCGAAAGCCUGAUCCAGCCAUGCCGCGUGUGUGAAGAAGGUCUUCGGAUUGUAAAGCACUUUAAGUUGGGAGGCGUUACCAACAGAAUAAGCACCGGCGAAUUUCGUGCCAGCAGCCGCGGUAAUUC